GGUGAGAUGGCGGAGCGGUUGAACGCACCGGUCUUGAAAACCGGCGUGGACUUCGGUCCACCGUGGGUUCGAAUCCCACUCUCACCG
rnacentral:tRNA from 1 species